GGAGGUGAAAAUGCCUGAAGCCCGUGUACUUAAAUUUAGGUGCACGUUAAAGAACCCCAGAUGGUCGAAAUUUCCGGAGCCCUCCACUACGGCAUCCCGCCUAAUGAUAUCGUGGUUUUGCGACGUAGCUCCCCAGAUAUUAUAUAUU
rnacentral:lncRNA from 1 species